CUAAUCUCUUGCUUUCCAAAUUUAAACCAUCCUAAAUCAGGAAGGAGGAAGCUUGAUUUGGGAGAAACUAAAAUUUAGAAGUCAAAUAAAAGUGUAGUUCAUCAGAUAUCUAUUGCUCGGAAGCCGAUUAGGGAAUAUUAUGUGUUCUGGCAUUGCAGUGUUGAUGAUUUAACGGAUUUUAAAUAUUGGUCAUGCCCUAGAUUUUGGUUUGUUAGUACUCUAUUUGGUUGAUACUUGGUAGACUAAAAAGAUUUGCUAUGUCAUUUAUUUAACAUUUUGUUGUUUAUUUGAUUUGAUUACCAGAAGGGCCAUGGGAUUUCAACUUUACUAUGGUUAUUCAGAAAUACUAAGCUCUCAUGAUGUUCGUCAUCACCACUCUAGAUUAACUAGACCAGUUAUUCGACAAUUAGGUUUGAUUGAUUUAGGAUUCUCUGGAUCUUCUACAACUUGGUCUGAUCAUAGAUCCCACAAUGCCCAUACUGCUGUUAGACUAGAUAGAGCUUUUGUCAAUACUUUAUGGAUAAAUAACUACUCAGGCAGCUUUUCUUCAUCAUGUGCCACCUGCUGCUUCAGACCUGAACACAUCCCUUUUUAGCUCUGCAGAUGUUGGUUUUAUCAAACUUCUUGUAAACUCAAAUGCACUAGACAUCAACUUUUUUUUUCUUCUUUUCUUCCCCUCAUGCACCCUCAGGAGUCAGUUCAGUUUGAUAAUCAAGUUUCUGGCUCCCUACUCGGAUCAAGUCUCCUACUUUAAUUCUUGGGAUUUUAUUUAAAUUUAGAAAUGUCUUCCAACUUCAAAUCCAUUCCCAUUAUAGGUUUGCCAGUUGAUCUUUCUUUUUGAAGCUUAUUAUUAUUUGAGCACUGCAUAUCUUUAUAACCAAUUGAUCAAUUUCCUUCUUUUGUGUUUAAUUUUAGAUGUUAGUCCUCUACUGUCUAACAAGUGGGGCGAUGUUGAUAAUGAAGGUGUAUCUGAAGUUGUUAAACAACUACUGAUCAAGCUUGCAAAGAGGCAGGGUUCUUCUAUGUGACGAUACCAGCGAAUUGGAGUAAAAGUAACCAAAGGCAAACUUGAUAAGCAUGAAGCAAUCGAUGUAAGCCUUACUUUUUCGUUAAAUGAAUACCUGAAUUGACUAUGUAGUAAUGAUUCCUGGCUGAUGAUAGUUAUUACCUUUCCUGCAAAAGUGUUACAGAGAAUUUAAGCCGGGGAUAUAGGGAGAUCUUGGCAAAACUUUAGAAGGAUCUAAUAAAUGGCCAGACAGUCCUUCAAACUUCUUACAGAUCUUUCAAGAAACAUAUUGCGGGGGCUUGCUCUUGCGCUUGGUGGAUGUCCCGAAGAAUUUGAAGGUGAAAGAGCCGGAGAUCCAUUUUGGGUAAUGCGUUUCAUAGGUUAUCCUGGUAUAUCUGAUGCCAAAGGCCUAGAUGUUCCAGAAAAUGCCGUUGGAUGUGGAGCUCAUACAGAUUAUGGACUUUUGACAUUGGUUAAUCAAGAUGAUGAGAUUCCUGCACUUCAGGUGAGAAAUCAAGCCGGUGAAUGGAUAUGGGCAGUUGCUAUACCUGGCACAUUUGUAUGCAACAUCCUUCUUUACGAAAUAAUCACCGUUGCUCACUUCUCUGCGUUAAUCCUCAGUGCUGUAUGUUCUUAAAUUAUUGUAUUCCAGAUAUGGUCCAAUGGUUUAUACGAACCAACUUUGCAUAGAGUGGUCAACAACUCACCAAAAUAUAGAGUAUCUGUUGCUUUCUUCUAUGAGCCCAACUUCGAUGCUGUUGGAGUUUUUUAAGGAAAAAGUCGGUGGGAUUGAGAAAUGCGAAAGAACUAUUUAUGGAGAGCAUUUAGUCGCAAAGUGCUCAACAACUCUGUCACCUAAAGGAUAGUCAUAUAUCUGUGAAUGAAUGUUGCUUGUUUUAUCAUGGUGAAUAACUCUUGAUCAAGUAUCUCGAGGUUUGUUAUUAUUCAUGUUCAUGUCGUCGUAGUAUUCAACCUUGUUUCCUUUCUUCUUUCUUUUAAUUGGUUAGUCAGGAAUUGGUAAAUCAAAUCACUCGUAUUUGAUUUUCACAAACUUAUAGUCGGAAAUUAUCAACUUCUCCUACUUUUCCAGCUA